ACUCCGCCUCCCUCCAAAGUCCCACCGCUUCCUCCUGGCUGACCUUUGACGCCCCGCUCCUCCCCUGACGCAUGCGGUGGGAAAGUGAAGGUAGAGGCAGAGGACUAAUGGAGUCCGAGUCAGAGGCACCGUGUGUCUACGUUUAUUAGGAGCAUUCAAAGAUUACUGAAGAAAAGUCAAACUAUGGCAGAAAGUUUAUCAACUUGGCCUAUGAACUGUUCAGCUCCAACUGACUUGUGCCGCCCUGGGACUGUGGAACGAGCUGUGCCUUUACGCUGCACUUUUUCUAAGCUGGACAAGUUGGCUACAUCUCCGCCAUUGUGUCAGAGACGUUGGCCUGCGCUGAGGGGGAUGGGAGACUGCGGUCUCAGCGCUGAGGAUGGCCUGCAGAGGAUGCAACAACUGUUUCUGUUACUCAUCACUGACUGGUAGGAGCUGGUUUCACUCUCUCAUUGUUGUGUGACAGUUAUGAGAUUAUACAAAAAGUGUUUGUCAUGUCUCAAGCCUCUGGCGAAAGGGGUUACAUAAGAAAACCUGAGGAGUGCAUCGGUUUAAUUGGACAACUGAAAGUACACCGAUCCGAUCAGAUAUAUCAAUAUUCUGAUCACUGACAGGAGAAGUAAAUAGCCGUCUUGUGACAAUUCAAUGUUCUGCUGGCAAACUUUUAGACCUGACACUUGUUUGGAUGUUAGUUAGGCGCGUACCACAAACUUAGACCAGACCAGGCCCCCCGCACACCC